CCUGGGCGCAUAGUAGCGGUAACAGAAAAACAUGUGAUUAUGACAAGUAUGACAGUGGUAGACCCCAAACAACUACGACUCCCCACACGCAACUUACGCAGGAGCUUAUGUGGAUGUGGCCUCUGUCCGACGCUGCCCUGCGCAGCUCUAACCAUUAAGCAAAUUACUGUGGCAAAUUGCGACCGAGGCCUUAAUUCCAGGUGCCAGGCACAAUUAUCAGCACCGUCCCUAGCAACUGCAUCACCAGCAGCCACCUGCUGCAGUUAUAAAUCACUUCACCCCCAGCUGCCCCCUCUGGCAGUCGCACUCACACUCACCUUGCUGGCAAUUACAUCGGCUCCCUGAAACAGCGAAUCGGAAACAAUGCCGGACAGGUCAUUGUGUAUCUCCUCCAGCUCCUGCAUCAGGUGUGGCAGAGUGUCGCAGUGGUAGGCCUCAAGCAUUCCAUUCGUGGCAUGCAGCUGCUGCACGUACGCAUUGUGUGCGUCGAUGUAUUCGGUGAGCGAGUGCUGGCUGGGGUUCUGUCGAUGGGCCAUGUGGCACUGCUUGUAGUCCAUCCGGCACUAAAAGGGAAAAUCAAACUGGGCUGGGACACACCUCAAACAAGAAUUUAUGGCUAAACGGAUUGCAGACAAAACGCAUUACGAGGUCUUUGAAAAGGCCCAAAUCUGGCAGGCAAUGAUUUUUCCCAGGACUAGGCGCACACAACGCCAAUCUCCUAAUUAGCAAAAUAACCCAUUCACUCACCUUUGACAGCUUCUCUUCAGUCUUUGCGAUAAUAGUCUCAAAAGACUCCCUGUGUGUAAAUAUUUUACGGCUUUGAACUUUGCGAUGAAAGGACUUGUCCAACAUUGGUCGCGACACCUGCAGGGUUUGGUAAGAAAAUUAAGAACGUAAAUUUGAACGUGAAUGUGAGGAUGUACAAGCCCGUGCUUUCGCUUUUUAUGUAUCGCGAAAACAAAGCAAACAAUGGGAAAAAUUAACAUUAUUCGGCACUCCAAUUACACAUGUCUUUUCCCAAGGUCCCUCGGCGGGUACGCCCCCUAAUUAGGCAUAAUUAGAGUCUGGUUUUAAUGAUGACCUUUGUCUGCCCAAUGGUUGGCUCAACGGAUCGAUGCAGCAUUCAUAUAUGAAUUUAGUUAUCACAAUAUUCCAUGUAC